CAACUACUCCCUCUGUCCCAAAUUUCUUGUCUUAGAUUUGUCUAGAUACGGAUGUAUCGAAUACUAAAAUGUGACUUGAUACAUCCGUAUCUAGACAAAUCUAAGACAAGAAUUUUGGGAUGGAGGGAGUACUUU
rnacentral:pre_miRNA from 1 species